GACGAACGCUGGCGGCGUGCUUAACACAUGCAAGUCGAACGGUAAGGCCUUCGGGUACACGAGUGGCGAACGGGUGAGUAACACGUGGGCAACCUGCCCCAAAGUGGGGGAUAACAACUCGAAAGGGUUGCUAAUACCCCAUGUGGUUUUCGGAAUCAGAAACUGAUUUCUAAAGGAGUAAUCCGCUUUGGGAGGGGCCUGCGUCCCAUCAGCUAGUUGGUAGGGUAAUGGCCUACCAAGGCGAUGACGGGUAGGGGGCCUGAGAGGGUGGCCCCCCACAUUGGCACUGAAACACGGGCCAAACACCUACGGGUGGCAGCAGUCGGGAAUAUUGGUCAAUGGACGAAAGUCUGAACCAGCAACGCCGCGUGUGCGAUGAAGGUCUUCGGAUCGUAAAGCACUUUUCGGGGAGAUGAGGAAGGACAGUAUCCCCGGAAUAAGGAUCGGCUAACUACGUGCCAGCCGCCGCUGUAAAAC
rnacentral:rRNA from 1 species